ensembl:lncRNA
AGUUCUUCCUAAUAUUCAAAGUGCUUCAGAAACAAGGGCUAUUAUUAUUCUGGAAUUUGCUGUCACCUGUAUGUGUGAGCACUGGAGGGGAAAGAGGAGAACUUUGGAAACUGACCUUCAGGUCAGUUAACUUUGGAUCCAGAGUAGGGCUGGAGAACAGUUGCAAGGAAGUUAGUGCUUCCUUGGGGUGGGGCUGAAGAGGGCAGGCUCAUAUACCAGUGAUAUAAAUACGCAUUUAGGGCUUUGACAACACAAAAGCCAAACUCCAGACAAGAAUCUGCUUCCAGGGUGAGCUUUAUUAGGGUUGGUUGGGGAGGGACCUAACCUGGGACCAUUAAAAAGGCUUGUGCCCAAUGUAUGAGAAGGCUCUCACUAAGCUGAGGAGUUUGGACUUUCUCACAUGCCAAUGGGGGGCCAUUGAAGAGUUUCUGGGCAGGGGAAGGAUUUUGGCAGAACUGGGAUUUAGGAAGACGGCCAUGGCAGUGAGUACAGAAUGGAUGGGGUUAGUGAGAGGGUCAGGACUAGAGGCAGGAGAGAAGUAAUGAGAAAUCUGAACUGGGUUAGUCGUUGGGAGAGAGAAUGGGAUUAAACCAUGAAUUAUGAUCGAGGCUGAAUUAUUUGGAAGAACAGAAAGAGUCUUGGAUUUGUGGCCACAGGACCUGGAUUUGAAUCUCUUCUCUUCUAUUUUCUACCUCUAACUACUUAGGUAUAGACAACAGAGGAUCAUGAAAAUUCUCAUCUCUGUCCUGCUGGGAACCUUGUUGUUUGUGGAGUCAGCUCAGAGCCUGAAGUGCUAUAUGUGCAUUGGGGUGAAUGAUGCAAACAUCUGUAAGGCUAAGACCUGCAGCAGUGGUGAAUCCUUCUGUGGCAAAAUUGUGAUGACUCCAGAACUCGGGUCUGAUAUGAAAUCAUACAUCAUGGACUGUACUCCUUCUUGUGAAGAUUUUAAAAAGUUAUAUCCACAGUCACUAGGAUUCUUCAUGGAUGCAUCCUGUUGCAACACCGACCUGUGUAAUGGGGUGGGAUGGUUCAAGGGCAACCCUUGGGCCCUGGCAGGGGCACUCCUCUUCAGUCUGGGGAUUGCCCUUCUCUGGACGGGGCUAUAAGAACCCUCCUUCCUCACCAGUUGCUUCUUACUAGUCCUUCUUUCCGUCACCAAACCCAUGAACCUUAGCCCUGAUUUGGGGUUAAGAGCUUUAGCAUAUUUCCAGAGUCCUGGCAUUCCUAAGGGGUUAGACAUGAAGUCUCCCUGUCUCUUACCCAGUCACCCUUCCUUUCCUCCUUUUCUGUCUUGCAGAAUUCCUCUUUAGAUCCUAGCUAAUCAGUUCCUCCCUUGUUCGAGUGAAAAUCCCUGGGUAUGAUCUCCCUCCUCCCUGCUUUGUGCUUCAGUAUUACAGAUAUGAGGUUCCCUGGGGAGGGUUAAUUGAGGAGAAAGAGCAGGAUCCUGAGUUCCAGUAAAUAAUGGAGAUAAAGGGGAGCCCAGGCAUCUGGGAGUUGGUCAGAAGAGAACAAAAAAGAAAAGAAAAAAAGAGUAUGAGGCCACUAAACUUUAGAGAGCAAAGAGCAGAACUUCAUUUGAGCAACUUGGAGAGGGAAAGUGAGCCUGGCCUUGAGGUAGGAACCAGAGACACCAGACAGAGAAGACAGAUCCUUUGGAUACCAGAGAAAGAAGCGCUUGGAGCUGGGAAAGGAAGGGACUCAGAGGUUGGACAGAAACCCCUAGACUCAAGAUCUCUGAGACAAACACUUCUCUGAACUGGAUAUAGCUGAGCUCUGCCCCGUGAUGUCAACCUCCCUAGUAACUGUAUCAGAACACAUAAAUAAACUCAUGAAUAAAUAUGUAUCCUGAGUGUUU